GCAGUGUUCCGGUCUGUCGCUUGCGACAAUAUAUCGCAAGAGGAAAGUCCGGGCAGCAUAGGACGCUCCACUUCUGAAAAUGGAAGCUGUCGGCGACGGCAGGAUAAGACAGAAGAAAAUAACCGCCGUACUUAACAGUACCGGUAAGGGUGAGAAGGUGGUGUAAGAGACCACCGGCUGCCAGGUGACUGGCAGGCCGUGUCUUCUGGAGGCUGCAAGUUCAUGUAAACCAUCGUCCGAGGGUUGUCCGCCCGAUUUCAACAACGAUGGAGGGUGGAACGCUUGAGCCGUGGAGUGAUUCACGGAGUAGAUAAAUGACAGACGACGCCAUGUCCUGCAAAGGCUUUGGCGGAUACAGAACCCGGCUUACAGGAGCACUGCUUUC
rfam:Prevotella sp. CAG:1058 genomic scaffold, scf208